CACGUAGGGAGCAAGCGUUGUCCGGAUUUAUUGGGCGUAAAGAGCUCGUAGGCGGUUCAGUAAGUCAGGUGUGAAACCUCCAGGCUCAACCCUCGAAUGCCGGUGGAUACUGUCGGGCUAGAGUGCGGAAGAGGCGAGUGGAAUUCCUGGUGUAGCGGUGAAAUGCGCAGAUAUCAGGAGGAACACCAAUUGCGAAGGCAGCUCGCUGGGACGUAACUGACGCUGAGACGCGAAAGCGUGGGGAGCAAACAGG
rnacentral:rRNA from 1 species